CUAUCGAUGGCACAUUAUUCUAGUCAGAUGAUUUAUUAUGAAGACGGGGCUAAAAAUCCGUUAAAGAGCAUAUCGAUGAAACUUUUGGUGCUUGCUUCUUUCGCCCAGAUUGGGGUGAGUGCUGGAAAUGAGAAUGUUGGGCAUCCAUAAUGGCAUAUGCAAAUGACCCACCAUUCGUGGAGACCUAUUAUUGUGUUUGGCCUAUACGUGAUAACUGAUGGACUAAAUACGAAAUAGGAUUAAACCUACCUUGUGAUGAAAGUUAUGGGUAGUGUAGCUUGUCUUGAGUGAGUAAUAGGGAUAAUUGAUUAAACAAUUUUGUAAGUUUUUAGCUAGAACCUUCAAGAUUGCAAUUUGAAAUAUUAUUUGCAAAAAAGAAUUAAUAAUAAAUAUUUGGUGAGGAAAUCUUCUAGAGUGUUGUUAGUAUGGGAUUGCAGUGCGUACUAAGUGGCAAUCAAGUAGUAUAAUAGGUGACUAUAUACUGAAUCUUUUAAAGGGGAACCACUUAUUGGUAACGAUAAGUAAGAUUUAGAGAAAUUCGACUUGACCUAAGACGUAAAGUUAAUCAUAUUAACGCCA
rnacentral:sRNA from 1 species